UAUUCCGCUCCAUAGCGUAUAUUAAAGUUGUUGCAGUUAAAAAGCUCGUAGUUGAAUUUCGGGAUCNGUAUGUUGGUCGUGCUUCGGUACGUACUGUCAUUACUGAUUUCUCCCUUCUGAAGAACCUUGAUGUCAUUAAUUUGGUGUCUUGGGGAAUCAGGACUGUUACUUUGAAAAAAUUAGAGUGUUUAAAGCAGGCAUACGCUUGAAUACAUUAGCAUGGAAUAAUGAAAUAGGACGUUUGAUUCUAUUUUGUUGGUUUCUAGGAUCGACGUAAUGAUUAAUAGGGAUAGUUGGGGGCAUUAGUAUUCAAUUGUCAGAGGUGAAAUUCUUGGAUUUAUUGAAGACUAACUACUGCGAAAGCAUUUGCCAAGGAUGUUUUCAUUAAUCAAGAACGAAAGUUAGGGGAUCGAAGACGAUCAGAUACCGUCGUAGUCUUAACCAUAAACUAUGCCGACUAGGAAUCGGAUGAUGUUAUUUUUAAUGACUCAUUCGGCACCUUACGGGAAAACA
rnacentral:rRNA from 1 species